rnacentral:rRNA from 1 species
UUGAACGCUGGCGGAAUGCUUUACACAUGCAAGUCGAGCGGCAGCGCGGGGGCAACCCUGGCGGCGAGCGGCGAACGGGUGAGUAAUACAUCGGAACGUACCCAGUUGUGGGGGAUAGCCCGGCGAAAGCCGGAUUAAUACCGCAUAAGUCCUGAGGGAGAAAGCGGGGGACCGUAAGGCCUCGCGCGAUUGGAGCGGCCGAUGUUCGAUUAGCUAGUUGGUGGGGUAAAGGCUCACCAAGGCGACGAUCCGUAGCUGGUCUGAGAGGACGACCAGCCACACUGGAACUGAGACACGGUCCAGACUCCUACGGGAGGCAGCAGUGGGGAAUUUUGGACAAUGGGGGAAACCCUGAUCCAGCCAUUCCGCGUGAGUGAAGAAGGCCUUCGGGUUGUAAAGCUCUUUCGGCAGGAACGAAACGGUAAGGGCUAAUAUCCUUUGCUAAUGACGGUACCUGAAGAAGAAGCACCGGCUAACUACGU